rnacentral:rRNA from 1 species
UACGUAGGGUGCAAGCGUUGUCCGGAAUUAUUGGGCGUAAAGAGCUCGUAGGCGGUUCGUCGCGUCGGCUGUGAAAUCCCGAGGCUCAACCUCGGGUCUGCAGUCGAUACGGGCGGACUGGAGUUCGGCAGGGGAGACUGGAAUUCCUGGUGUAGCGGCGAAAUGCGCAGAUAUCAGGAGGAACACCGGUGGCGAAGGCGGGUCUCUGGGCCGAUGACUGACGCUGGAGGAGCGAAAGCGUGGGGAGCGAACAGGA